GCGCGAAACCUCCGCAAUGCGAGCAAUCGCGACGGGGGGACCCCCAGUGCUACUCUUAACGGGGUAGCUUUUCUAAAGUGUAAAAAGCUUCAGGAAUAAGGGCUGGGCAAGACCGGUGCCAGCCGCCGCGGUAACACCGGCAGCUCAAGUGGUGGCCGCUUUUAUUGGGCCUAAAGCGUUCGUAGCCGGCCUGAUAAGUCUCUGGUGAAAUCCCGCAGCUUAACUGUGGGAAUUGCUGGAGAUACUAUCAGGCUUGAGGCCGGGAGAGGCUCGAGGAACUCCCAGGGGAGGAGUGAAAACCUAUGAUCCUGGGGGGACGACCUGUGGCGAAGGCGUCCAGCUGGAACGGACCUGACG
rnacentral:rRNA from 1 species